GAUGAACGCUAGCUACAGGCUUAACACAUGCAAGUCGAGGGGAAACGACAUCGAAAGCUUGCUUUUGGUGGGCGUCGACCGGCGCACGGGUGAGUAACGCGUAUCCAACCUGCCCACCACUUGGGGAUAACCUUGCGAAAGUAAGACUAAUACCCAAUGACGUCUCUAGAAGACAUCUGAAAGGGAUUAAAGAUUUAUCGGUGAUGGAUGGGGAUGCGUCUGAUUAGCUUGUUGGCGGGGUAACGGCCCACCAAGGCAACGAUCAGUAGGGGUUCUGAGAGGAAGGUCCCCCANAUUGGAACUGAGACACGGUCCAAAACUCCUACGGGAGGCAGCAGUGAGGAAUAUUGGUCAAAUGGGCGCAAGCCUGAACCAGCCAAGUAGCGUGAGGGAAGACUGCCCUACGGGUUGUAAACCUCUUUUGUUUGGGAAUAAAGUGCGGGACGUGUCCCGCAUUGCAUGUACCAUUUGAAUAAGGACCGGCUAAAUUCCGUG
rnacentral:rRNA from 1 species